AAACUGAAUAUCCUGUGCCUCAGGAGCAUACUCUGCCAUCCAUGUUACAAGAUACAGAGCAUGGGAAAAGCUCUUAAACCUUUUGCUGAUGGCACUUGACCUUGAGUUAUUGGGCUUUUAUUGGAGCAAGGGAUAGACUCGGUUAUCCCUGUUCCCCACUGAGCAGCCAGGCCUCUCAGCCGUUUUGCCAGGUAACCCAAAGCUUUCAGAAUGAGCACAGACAACAGGAUGGCAAGCACCACAGUUGCAGAGUGAUCUUCUCCCCUUUUAUAAUCCACACCCUCUGAAGUUCUCUCAGCAGCAGCGCCUGGAGAAAAUGAGACAGUUCAAUGCAUUCACGAGUUAGUUUUGCGCUACCGAUGGAAUCACAGUGUCUUGGAUGAGUGCAAGUAAUUAUAUUAUUCCCUCAAUUCCUGUCCCUCGUUCUCCUGUCUUAGCAGCAGAGGAUGAGGAUGAUCUCUUACAGUCCUGCUGAGCAAGAGCCCGCUUGCAAGGGAGAGGCUGAAAAGUCACUACCUCCAGCUGUGUCUCAGGGAGUGAAUAGGAGUUCAUUGCCCAUGCCUUACUUCCAAGGACCCAAACCAGGAUCCUGCUGGGAAGUUGACAACCAUCCUCUAUGGCCAGCUCUGCCACUGCAGGCAGAACAGUUUCCAUUGUGUAUUUGAAUGCACCUCAUCAGCUUUGAAUGGCAGUGAAUGCAGAGUUUGACAGUAGCUUCCUCUCAAGAAGGAAGUGUUUCUUCCUUCUGCUAAGCAGACAUUGACAACAUACCCCUGGCAUGCUCCUGUGGCUCAAAAGCAGGAUCUGCCUGAGAAGCCAGAGAAGCCAUCUUCAGUGCAACAGCUAUAAGUAAAAACAGAGGAGGAACUUUUGCAUUACGUAUGGUGAUACACCGCUUCGUAAGCAACAGCUGCAGAGGGAUCAAGUUGGCCUUCUGGAUGCAGCUUGGCAGCUCUCAAACGAAGUCUAGACACACUUUGUACCCAUGUGAUUCCUCCAAGGCUCAAAAUCAGGAUCCCACUGCAAAGUUGCAGAGCCAGCACUUGAGGCCACAUCUGCUAUAGGCAGAAGAUCACAGCUUCUCUCAUACACUGCAGUUAAACUCUUCAGCUUUGAAUGGCAGCAAACAAUCUUACUGACAGACACUUAUCUCCCUCUUCCACUACAAGUAUGGGGUAAAUAGGUGCUGGAUGCUAAAAGAAGCACUGUACUGUCAUAAAACAAACCACGUAUGGGUUUGCUGAGGGAAAGGACCCCCAGGAAGCUCUACACUCUGCCCCAAAUGCUUCUGCCUUUGCUGUCAGCACUGGAAGAGGCACACGGCUGAGGCUGCUGGCAAACAUAGCUUUGCAGGGCAAAGAAUCCCAGGGCACAACUCUGUGCUCUCCUGAUUCCUACUCUGCUCUUCUCCACAUCUCAGCAACAGCGAAGAACAUUGUAAGGUAAGUUCCACAGGAGGACAAGGCUGAAAGUACGUGCUGACACUGUGAAAUGAACAAAGACAGACCACUCACCCCUGGAGUAUCCUUGAGGCUGACGAAAUCGGUGCAGCCCAGAUGUGUUGCAUGCAGGCAGGUCUGUAAACAAACAGAAGAAAGUUUUCCUUUCCACACUGUGGCUUCUCUAUAAGGGGACUGCAGAGCCUGGCAGGGGAACACAUAGUACUCUGAGAGCCACACAUAGGUCCAGAGUCUGCCAGGUGAACCGAGGCCUGGGUGAGCCAUGACCAGGGAACCACAUGCAUCUCGAAGGAAAAAUAUACCCCAGCGAUCCUUGUGGUGCUCCCUAAUGGCUUCCAUGGCAUAAGCUGGAUAUGCAUCGCCAACACAGUCAUUUGCAAUGGAGAACGAAGCACAAAAGCUUUCAAGAUGUGUUGCAAUAUACCUCAUCAUAAGGGAUCUUCAGGGACUGGAGAGGGGUUGUGGGGUCCAUGUGCAGGAUCUGUACACAGGUCCAGAUUCUUUCAAGCUGCGGCGAAACCCACUUGAGCUGUGUGUAGGGAUUUUGCAUCUCCCCACAUACUGCCUUGAGGAAAUAGGCACCAGAACUAAGGGAAUCCCGUUGGACAGACAGACUGUGCUUACUCACUGGGCAGCCUGUCACAUCCCCUAAGCAUCAAAAACUACAAGAGGAGCACCUGAGGACAAAGGAGUGCAUUUGCAUUGCUUGUGGACCCCAUUCAUGCACCAAUGGGAGUGCUUGAAUCUCUGGGGUGGAUGCGGCUUGCUGUUAUGAAGGAAGCUGUGAGCUGCUUCCUUCCUCUGGAGAAAUUAAAGAACUGCCAAAC
rnacentral:lncRNA from 7 species